AGUUAAACCCUAGUUCCUU
rnacentral:snRNA from 1 species